AUUGAACGCUGGCGGCAUGCCUUACACAUGCAAGUCGAACGGUAACGCGGGGCAACCUGGCGACGAGUGGCGAACGGGUGAGUAAUAUAUCGGAACGUGCCCAGUAGUGGGGGAUAGCCCGGCGAAAGCCGGAUUAAUACCGCAUACGACCUACGGGUGAAAGGCGGGGGAUCGCAAGACCUCGCGCUAUUGGAGCGGCCGAUAUCAGAUUAGGUAGUUGGUGGGGUAAAGGCCUACCAAGCCUACGAUCUGUAGCUGGUCUGAGAGGACGACCAGCCACACUGGGACUGAGACACGGCCCAGACUCCUACGGGAGGCAGCAGUGGGAAUUUUGGACAAUGGGCGCAAGCCUGAUCCAGCCAUGCCGCGUGCGGGAAGAAGGCCUCGGUUGUAA
rnacentral:rRNA from 1 species